AUACGUAGGUGGCAAGCGUUGUCCGGAAUUAUUGGGCGUAAAGCGCGCGCAGGUGGUUCCUUAAGUCUGAUGUGAAAGCCCCCGGCUCAACCGGGGAGGGUCAUUGGAAACUGGGGAACUUGAGUGCAGAAGAGGAUAGUGGAAUUCCAAGUGUGGCGGUGAAAUGCGUAGAGAUUUGGAGGAACACCAGUGGCGAAGGCGACUGUCUGGUCUGUAACUGACACUGAGGCGCGAAAGCGUGGGGAGCAAACAGGAUUAGAUACCCUGGUAGUCCACGCCGUAAACGAUGAGUGCUAAGUGUUGGGGGGUUUCCGCCCCUCAGUGCUGCAGCUAACGCAUUAAGCACUCCGCCUGGGGAGUACGGUCGCAAGACUGAAACUCAAAUGAAUUGACGGGG
rnacentral:rRNA from 1 species